GCCUGCGUGGCUCAGUAAGUUGAGCCUCUGACUUCACCUCAGGUCAUCUCAUGGUUCGUGGGUUCAAGUCCUACAUCGGGCU
rnacentral:tRNA from 1 species